CCUCAAGUAGCUAGGACUACAGGCGCAUGCCACCGCACCCAGGUCCUGAGUUCUUGUCCCACGUCCAGGAAGAAUGAGGUUACUCAGGUAACUGGAGGAUGUGAGAAGAGCUUUAUUGAGGAUGGAGAAGAGCUUUAUUGAGCAACAGAACAGCUCUCAACAGAGAGGAGACCCAAAGUUCCUUAGAUCCUGGGAUGAGGAGGUUGACCAGAAGGUGGGCUUGGGAAGGUAGCCUGGGGUCCAAAUCCUCUUGGCUCUUCAGCUUGGCAGGAUGUCACCCUCAGUGUCUGAAAGCUGGGUUUGAUGCGUCUGGAAAAGCGUCCCUCACAGGCGUCGUUGCUGGGAGCCCCUGGUGCCGCCAGCAGCUAGCAGGGAGCAUGUCCUCUGCCCGCUCACUUCUGACCCUUCUCUCGCUGCACGGAUGGGGACCUUAGGACAGAAUGGCUCUAAACCCGCUCCUGUCUACGGUGUGAGCAUUUCCUGAUGUGAAAGCUUCAACCGCAGUCUCAACAUUGAGCUCUUCCAAGGCAUAAAAUAAUCAGUUAAAAUUCUUACGUGUUAUAAAGAUGCUGGCCCCAGAGAAGAGUGAGACCCGGAACACAGUGCAGCUGGGAGCAGCCUGGGCUGCGCAGAAGGCUCAGAUCUGGCGACGGCCCUUGCCGGUGACUGUGACCUGGGGUGUCUUGGAGACUCUGAGUCUCAGCUUCUCCAUAUAUAAGAUGAGAAGAACCAGCCUCAGAACAAUAUUCUAUAGCUUCAAACUUGCCUGAGAACCAGCCUCAGGCAAGGUUGUUUGUGCAUUAGUGAAAUCAGACGUAUUAAAUAAAGUACCACAUUGAUCAUGGAGUUGUUAAAUAACCAAGAACACACCUAUCUGUC